AUUGAACGCUGGCGGCAGGCUUAACACAUGCAAGUCGAGCGAGCGGCGGACGGGUGAGUAAUGUCUGGGAAACUGCCUGAUGGAGGGGGAUAACUACUGGAAACGGUAGCUAAUACCGCAUACCAUCAGAUGUGCCCAGAUGGGAUUAGCUAGUAGGUGGGGUAAUGGCUCACCUAGGCGACGAUCCCUAGCUGGUCUGAGAGGAUGACCAGCCAACCUGCAACGUAGACACGGUCCAGACUCCUACGUGAGGCCUCAGUGGUGAAUAUUGCCCAAUGGGCGCAAGCCUGAUGCCGCCCUGCCGCGUGUGUGAAGAAGUCCUUCGGGUUGUAAAGCACUUUCAGCGAGGCGGCGGUACUCGCAGAAGAAGCACCGGCUAACUCCGUGCCAGCAGCCGCGGUAAUUC
rnacentral:rRNA from 1 species